GUCGAGGCCAGCGAGGGGAGAAGCAGCGGCUGUGUCGUUGGACAAGGCCGGCGAGGGGAGGAGCGGUGGUGGCGGUGGACAUGGCCAUAUCCUGUAAGUUACAGCUCCCUUUUGAUAUUGACAACACAAGAGGAUAAUGGAAAGUACUUGCUCGGGAGUUUCUUCUUUCUGGAGAUCUGUAGUUGCUUCCUGCAGCCUGAAUCAAAAGUUGGAGUUCGCACUUGCCUCUCCUGGAAUGGUCUUCACAGCUCCUCCUAAGGAGCAGCAAAUAAUUGUUAUGCAGGGCUCAACCCUCAACCUUAGAGAGUGACAUGCAAAUACUUUGGAAACUGUAGCGAGUAGAAGUUGAGCAAACUGGCCGUAGCAGCAAAGGUAGUAGCAGCAAGUAGGUGGAAUAUGUGAC